rnacentral:rRNA from 1 species
CCCAGACUCCUACGGGAGGCAGCAGUGAGGAAUAUUGGUCAAUGGGCUUACGCCUGAACCAGCCAAGUCGCGUGAGGGAAGACUGCCCUAUGGGUUGUAAACCUCUUUUGUCAGGGAGCAAUUGGCGCUACGUGUAGCGUUAUCGAGAGUACCUGAAGAAAAAGCAUCGGCUAACUCCGUGCCAGCAGCCGCGGUAAUACGGAGGAUGCGAGCGUUAUCCGGAUUUAUUGGGUUUAAAGGGUGCGUAGGCGGGCUUUUAAGUCAGCGGUAAAAAUUCGGGGCUCAACCCCGUCCGGCCGUCGGAACUGCCGGGCUAGAGUGGGCGAGAAGUGCGCGGAAUGCGUGGUGUAGCGGUGAAAUGCAUAGAUAUCACGCAGAACUCCGAUUGCGAAGGCAGCGUACCGGCGCCCAACUGACGCUCAUGCACGAAAGCGUGGGUAUCGAACAGGAUUAGAUACCCCCGUAU